rnacentral:rRNA from 1 species
GACGAGGGAUCCUAGCGUUGUUCGGAAUUACUGGGCGUAAAGGGCGCGUAGGCGGCACUGUUAGUCAGGCGUGAAAUUCCUGGGCUCAACCUGGGGACUGCGCUUGAUACGGCAGAGCUUGAGGAUGGAAGAGGGUCGCGGAAUUCCCAGUGUAGAGGUGAAAUUCGUAGAUAUUGGGAAGAACACCGGUGGCGAAGGCGGCGACCUGGUCCAUUACUGACGCUGAGGAGCGAAAGCGUGGGGAGCGAACAGG